GAGUUUGAUCAUGGCUCAGAUUGAACGCUGGCGGCAUGCCUUACACAUGCAAGUCGAACGGUAACGCGGGGCAACCUGGCGACGAGUGGCGAACGGGUGAGUAAUGCAUCGGAACGUGCCCAGUAGUGGGGGAUAGCCCGGCGAAAGCCGGAUUAAUACCGCAUACGACCUAUGGGUGAAAGCGGGGGAUCGCAAGACCUCGCGCUAUUGGAGCGGCCGAUGUCAGAUUAGGUAGUUGGUGGGGUAAAGGCCUACCAAGCCUUCGAUCUGUAGCUGGUCUGAGAGGACGACCAGCCACACUGGGACUGAGACACGGCCCAGACUCCUACGGGAGGCAGCAGUGGGGAAUUUUGGACAAUGGGCGCAAGCCUGAUCCAGCCAUGCCGCGUGCGGGAAGAAGGCCUCGGUU
rnacentral:rRNA from 1 species